rnacentral:tRNA from 1 species
UGGAGUGUAGCUCAGUGGUAGAGCAUUUGCCUAGCAUGUGCAAAUUCCUGGGUUGAAAUCCCAGCAGUACAC